rnacentral:tRNA from 1 species
GAGGGUAUAGCUCAGUGAUUAGAGUGCCUGCUUAACAUGCACGAGGUCGGGGGUUCAAUCCCCAGUACCUCCA